AGGAACGUUGGGAGCAUUGAACCCACUUACCCAAAUGGGCGCCAUGGUGGUGGGGGAGCUAGUGGCGCAACCAGCCAACUUACUU
rnacentral:ncRNA from 1 species